rnacentral:rRNA from 1 species
GAUGAACGCUGGCGGCGUGCUUAACACAUGCAAGUCGAACGGAAAGGCCCAAGCUUGCUUGGGUACUCGAGUGGCGAACGGGUGAGUAACACGUGGGUGAUCUGCCCUGCACUUCGGGAUAAGCCUGGGAAACUGGGUCUAAUACCGGAUAGGACGAUGGUUUGGAUGCCAUUGUGGAAAGUUUUUUCGGUGUGGGAUGAGCUCGCGGCCUAUCAGCUUGUUGGUGGGGUAAUGGCCUACCAAGGCGUCGACGGGUAGCCGGCCUGAGAGGGUGUACGGCCACAUUGGGACUGCGAUACGGCCCAGACUCCUACGGGAGGCAGCAGUGGGGAAUAUUGCACAAUGGGCGCAAGCCUGAUGCAGCGACGCCGCGUGGGGGAUGACGGCCUUCGGGUUGUAAACUCCUUUCGCUAGGGACGAAGCGUUUUUGUGACGGUACCUGGAGAAGAAGCACCGGCUAACUACGUG